UAGUACGGCGAGUGAAGAGGGAAGAGCCCAAGAUUGAAAGCUGGCGUCUUCGGCGUCCGCAUUGUAAUCUCAAGAAGUGUUUUCCGCUUCGGACCAAGCCUAAGUCCCCUGGAAAGGGGCAUCAUAGAGGGUGAUAAUCCCGUACAUGGCUUGGAGCGCCCGAGGCUUUGUGAUACGCUUUCUAAGAGUCGAGUUGUUUGGGAAUGCAGCUCAAAAUGGGUGGUAAAUGCCAUCUAAGGCUAAAUAUUGGGGAGAGACCGAUAGCGAACAAGUACAGUGAUGGAAAGAUGAAAAGAACUUUGAAAAGAGAGUUAAACAGUACGUGAAAUUGCCAAAAGGGAAGGGUAGGAGGUCAGAGAUGCGGCCUGGGAUUCAGCCUUGCUUUUGCUUGGUGUUUUUCCCAGAUUGCAGGCCAACGUCGGUUUUGGGCACUGGAGAAGGGUAGGAGGAACGUGGCACCCCUCGGGGUGUGUUAUAGCCUCCUACUGGAUACAGCGACCGAGACCGAGGACAGCAGCGUACUCGCAAGAGCGGGCCUUCGGGCACCUUUACGCUUAGGGCGUUGGCAUAAUGGCCCUCUACCACCCGUCUU
rnacentral:rRNA from 1 species